CCCUAACAGCGAACGAGAAUACAUUGUAAUCAUUCGGUUUCAAUACCAGAAAGUGUUUGAAGAAUCUAUCCAGGAACGGUGGUGAAGGUCGAUCAAUGAUCGAUGGAACUCACGGCACAUGGUUGUACGAUGGGACUCUCCGCAUAUAGAGCCACCGUAAUAUUACUCUUCUUCUUCCUCUCUCACUUUUCAUUCACCACCGCUAUCAGAAAGGAUAUCGGCUUCAAAUUUACUCCUUUCUGCAAAACCACCGUUCAAGGCAGAUACCUUCUCUCCGACAACAAUGGUUAUGUAUGCAAUGCUCUUUCAAUUGAUUCAAAAUCUCGCUGUUGUCCUCAAACCGGGAAGAAAUUCUCUUGUCAUGGAUGCAAUCUUCUUUCACAGUGUUGCAAUUCUUAUGAAUAUUGUGUUUCUUGCUGUCUCAAUCCCGCACUGACACGUAGGGAACAAGUGUUGAAGAUGAAGAUUGCUAAACCGGCUACUGCAAGGAGUUAUGAAAGUAUUUUUGACUACUGCACUGGGAGAUGUCGUCAUAGCUCUGAAAGUGUGGUUCAUGAAAAUGCUUAUCUUAGUGACCUCCAUCACUGCUUUUCUCUGCCAUCAAACUCUUCUGCACAGGGUCAAAUAGUACUCUCACAGAAGCAAGGCUCAAUGGCAUCAAUGUUGUUGUUGGGAGGCAAGGUGAAUCAUGUAAUUCAGUUUGCAAAUCAAGAGGACAAUCAUGUGUCCCAAAUAAACUUGUGGUGCUUAAUCAUUGUGACAUUAUACAGAAAUACAUGAACUGCAAAGGAUCUUGCUUGGCAAGUGUUGGGCCAGAUCAACCUGCUGAAGUCGUUUAUGAUGCCCCCAAGCUUCUGUACUCUGGUCGGGCAUACUUAGGGCAUACUUAGUCGGGCAUUAGAUGUCCCUGAGUAUUCUGGUCGGGUGAGGGGUAAGGGAUUUGGAGUCACUCCGACCUCCCUGAGUAUUAAAAAAGGAAAGGCUCCUAGUAAUCGGGAGCUUCAUGCAAGAUUGGAAGCCAUGCAAGCUGAGCUUGAUGCAUUGAGGAGAGAAAGAGAGGCUAGCGCCUCAACAGUAUACAGAGAUGCUUCGGACAAAGACAGUAUCAACUGUACCUUUCAGCCGAACAUUCCAGAGGUAAAAUUGUGUACAUAAAUUUGUAUAUAUUUUGAUACAUUUAAGGCAAAAUUGGUUU